UGGGGAGUGGUGUAAUGGCAACACGUCUGCCUUUGGAGCAGAAGACUCUAGGUUCGAGCCCUAGCUCCCCAGCCA
rnacentral:tRNA from 3 species